UACGUAGGGUGCAGGCGUUAAUCGGAAUUACUGGGCGUAAAGCGUGCGCAGGCGGUUUGCUAAGACAGGUGUGAAAUCCCUGGGCUUAACCUGGGAACUGCGCUUGUAACUGGCAAGCUAGAGUGUGGCAGAGGGGGGUGGAAUUCCACGUGUAGCAGUGAAAUGCGUAGAGAUGUGGAGGAACACCGAUGGCGAAGGGCAGCCCCCUGGGUCAAGAUUGACGCUCAUGCACGAAAGGCGUGGGGAGCAAACGAGGAUA
rnacentral:rRNA from 1 species